CAUUAAGUGACUGAAAGUAAGUAAUGGUCUCUUAAACCGUAAAUAAUAAUUUAACAUUUAUUCUUAAUG
rnacentral:tRNA from 1 species